rnacentral:lncRNA from 1 species
AGCACGUCACUCCAUGCGGGAGGGGAGCCCCACCUAAGGUUCUUGGCCAUAAAAUAUGGCUUUUGGAAAAAUAAAGCUGAGACUUGGAGUUCACGGUGGGGGCUCCCCCAUCUGUGAACAGAAGCAGAAGUUUGGAACUGCCUUCUUUACUGCUCGAGAGGGAAAACUUGAGUGAAAACCAGGAUGCUGGCGAAUGUUGAGUAGCUAAGCUGCACAGGAAAUACCACUUGAUGACCUGCGAUCUGGGGAAGCCGCGCCAGGGCUCUGCGAAGCUGCGGACGAGGGAGGCGUCAGUGUGGGGGCUGCAGCUCAGCUCCGGGGGGGACGCGCCUUUCUCCACGGGACCUGGGGCUCAGGUGCUCACGAGGCUGGGGCGCUGCAGGCCACCCGCAGGGGAAACUGAGGCCCUCCAUUUUGUGGGGCUGGAAGACCUUUCCUUCCAAAAGCAGGUGUAGGCGGGAGCACCUGUGCAGUCCCUCUGUUCAGAUCCUCACCCACUUUUAAAUCAGAUGCAGCUCAGGUGUGCCUUUUCUUCGCCUGUGCCCAUCCACCUGAGAUGGACCAUAACCAUAAAAGUCAGAAGGCACUGACCCUUCAGGACGUGACAGGGUUAAAAGAUGCUGGAGGGAAAGUCUGUCAUUGACUUUUAUUCACUUCCUUUCUCCAUUCUGCCAUUUGGAAGAAGAGAAAAUAUCCAAAAUAUUUGACAACCAUGAGGGCACUGGAUCUUCAAAUGUCCAAACACCUGCCCCCAUAGGAUGGACACCAGCUGUUUACACCAACACAGGAGUCCUGGGUGCGGUGAAAGAACAUCUGCCAUGUGGAUUUGUUGCUGUUCUUAAUUUACUAUGGAAAUUAGCCUCUUGCCUGUGAUAGAAAUCACACGUAUUAUCUCUGAGUAGUCCCAUGUCUUAAAGCUUUGUUUGUUAUUUAAAUUUCAAAGUAGACAAA